rnacentral:tRNA from 1 species
UGGUCGGUAGCUCAGGUGGUUAGAGCGCACGCUGAUAAGCGUGAGGUCGGAGGUUCAAGUCCUCCUCGACCCACCA